rnacentral:lncRNA from 1 species
UGAAAAUCUAAAUUAGUACAACCAUGCGGCUUCUUCUCUUUCAUUGUUCAGCCAGCAGGAGGGAGUGUUACAGCUCUUUUACUCCUGCUGCCAGCAGCUCAGUGAGCAGGAGCACUACAGUUCUUUUACUGUCACAGUUCUGCGAGUUCUGGGUUCUUGUCCUGCAACCAAGAGGAAUAAGGAAUUUUCCUGUCUCCUGUCGCUAUCACAACCACUAUGGAGAAGUUUGGGGGUUCCUCAAAAAUUAAAAAUAGAACCACGAUUCAGUGACCCCACUGCUGGUACCUACCAAAAGAAAGGUAAUCAAUAUAUGGAAGAGAUACCUGAAUUCUUAUGUUUGUUGCACCACUGUUUACAAUAGCUAAGAUUUUGAAGCAACCUAAGUGUUCAUCGAUAGACAGAUGGAGACAGACAACCUCUAAUUUACAUGUGGUACACAUACACAGUGGAGGAUUUUGCAGACAUAAAAAAAUGUGAUACUUUCAUUUGCAAUAACGUGGAUGGAACCGUAUGUAGUUCAUUAUGUUAAGUGAAAUAAGUCAG